rnacentral:rRNA from 1 species
AGUGAACGCUGGCGGUAGGCCUAACACAUGCAAGUCGAACGGCAGCACAGUAAGAGCUUGCUCUUACGGGUGGCGAGUGGCGGACGGGUGAGGAAUACAUCGGAAUCUACUUUUUCGUGGGGGAUAACGUAGGGAAACUUACGCUAAUACCGCAUACGACCUACGGGUGAAAGCAGGGGAUCUUCGGACCUUGCGCGAUUGAAUGAGCCGAUGUCGGAUUAGCUAGUUGGCGGGGUAAAGGCCCACCAAGGCGACGAUCCGUAGCUGGUCUGAGAGGAUGAUCAGCCACACUGGAACUGAGACACGGUCCAGAGUCCUACGGGAGGCAGCAGUGGGGAAUAUUGGACAAUGGGCGCAAGCCUGAUCCAGCCAUACCGCGUGGGUGAAGAAGGCCUUCGGGUUGUAAAGCCCUUUUGUUGGGAAAGAAAAGCAGCAGGUUAAUACCCCGCUGCUCUGACGGUACCCAAAGAAUAAGCACCGGCUAACUUCGUG